rnacentral:rRNA from 1 species
UACGUAGGGUGCGAGCGUUAAUCGGAAUUACUGGGCGUAAAGCGUGCGCAGGCGGUUCGUUAAGUCAGCUGUGAAGGCCCCGGGCUUAACCUGGGAACUGCAUUUGUGACUGGCAGGCUAGAGUAUGGCAGAGGGGGGUAGAAUUCCACGUGUAGCAGUGAAAUGCGUAGAGAUGUGGAGGAAUACCGAUGGCGAAGGCAGCCCCCUGGGCCAAUACUGACGCUCAUGCACGAAAGCGUGGGGAGCAAACAGG